AAAUUUUCAGAAGAACUAGAAGAAGAAAUAACAGAAUGUAAACUGAGAAAUGAGAGAAGUUUUGAUGAGUGCAGAAAAUCAAGAAUUUGUAGAGUGUGUGUGAGACCCUAAUGGACUGCAGGAAUCUUCCACAGAAGCUCCCCAUUCAUCCAAUAUGAACAAUGAUGCAGAAAAAAAAUGUAAUAAGGCAUCUAGAGAAAACCCACUGAGUCCAAGUAGGACUGACCAUCUGUGAAUGUGUGUGAAGACACCUACUGGGGCGUGAGCAACCUGCCAGCAGCCACAAGCCCGCAUCCACCCAUGGCGAUUGCUCUUCAGCUGGUGCCGGGACCUUGAGAGAUGCUUCCUCGUUCAUGCCAGAAUCUUGACUGGCUUGAUCUUGUGAAAGUCUAGUGUAAGACAAAGCUGUUUUGAGUUGAUCUGUAUAUCGGUUAUGUCAUGUCCCAAAAAGAACAUUUCAAUGUACUUCUCUCCAGAUUCAAACUCUGACAUUGUUUUCUGACCAUUCUUCCUCAUUUUCUCUUGAACUUUCAGUAGUGGGAGGUUAAUACAAAUGACCCAUCUGCAGAUGAGUCUUCACACUGUGUAGAUGAAAUUCUAAAUGGUCUUAUUAAAUAAGAAACACAAAGCCAAAUGUAGAGUUAAAAGCCCAAAAGACCAGAGCACUAGCGAAGCCUUUAGCUUACCAGUUGCUGCCGUCCUUCCCAUGAGUGAGACCUUCUCCUCUGUGACCCAUCUUUUUAUUGCCUUUCUGUUCUACCUUCUCAUUGGCUUUAAACCCAACCACAUGGUUUCCUCGUCAC